rnacentral:rRNA from 1 species
CCUACGGGUGGCAGCAGUGAGGAAUAUUGGUCAAUGGACGAGAGUCUGAACCAGCCAAGUAGCGUGAAGGAUGACUGCCCUAUGGGUUGUAAACUUCUUUUAUAUGGGAAUAAAACGUUCCACGUGUGGGAUUUUGUAUGUACCAUAUGAAUAAGGAUCGGCUAACUCCGUGCCAGCAGCCGCGGUAAUACGGAGGAUCCGAGCGUUAUCCGGAUUUAUUGGGUUUAAAGGGAGCGUAGGUGGAUUGUUAAGUCAGUUGUGAAAGUUUGCGGCUCAACCGUAAAAUUGCAGUUGAAACUGGCAGUCUUGAGUACAGUAGAGGUGGGCGGAAUUCGUGGUGUAGCGGUGAAAUGCUUAGAUAUCACGAAGAACUCCGAUUGCGAAGGCAGUUCACUGAACUGCAACUGACACUGAGGCUCGAAAGUGUGGGUAUCAAACAGGAUAGAUACCCCUGUAGUC